rnacentral:lncRNA from 1 species
GUGAGAAAGCACUUGGCACAGGAUGUAUAGCUCUUCUGACAAGCAUACUGGUACUUACAUUUCUCAUGCUACCCACCCAUUGCUCAGUGUUCAGCUUUCAUCCUGCCCAGCUCUGUGAUUAUCACUCCUUCACAGCCCGUUCCUGUGUUCAGUGACCCCACUGGACUUGGAAGAAAAGUGGAAGGAAUGUACACAGUGGAACUCUAAAAAGGAGGUUCUGUUUGGCUCCCCACUUGAGGAUGCAUUUGAAGACAAAAGACAUAUAUGGCAUGAGAUAACUCUGGGAGCUACAUGCAGAUGGAAGCCACUCAGAAGAGCUGUGUGUGAUUUUGUGGCCCUGCCUCCAUACUUAUCUCUGCAGUAAAAUUAAAUCCAUGUCUUUUAUUUGAAUAAAUCAAUGGAGUGACUCCUUCUACAAGGAUGAGAUUAAUAGGCAGUGAUUCCUUAUCAGUAUGAAGCUGGAUAUUUCAAUUUUUCCUCCAGAGCACAGUAAGCAGAGCAUGAUCAAUUACUGCACCAGUAAAAGGGGAUAUGAGUGUGUGCAACCACUAGGAGCUGGCAACUCAAAGUUUUCUAUCAAUACAGAACAGAAACAGAUGGAUUCCCAUGAGAGACAGAGCAGGCCGAGCUGCUAUGAGAGUUUAAAGAAUUAAGUUAUGUGCUCAUCUCAGUGCUAGCUGCAAAAGCAAGCCAGUGUACAAUUGAGC